rnacentral:misc_RNA from 1 species
AUUUAAUUUGUACUUUACAAUUUGUCCAGCUGGACAUUUGGUAAAUUUUCCUAACCUAAUUGCUAAAUAACAUGUGGAUGGCUACUCCCAGCAGGAUACCAUCUUCGAGUAGUCAAAGUGAACGCUUGAACUUGGUCAGAGAGUUACUCGACAAACGGGAACAACGUGUUGAGCCUCCAACUUCAUCGGCAAAUUACUCUCGGCAAACGUAUACGGCGUACGGGACUGAAACGAGCAACCGAUGCCACGAAUAAGGAGAAAGAAAGAGGCACAGGUAGAAAAAGAGGACGUGGACAACUAGAACACGACUGAGAGAAGGGCACAAUGUUCAGGUGAAUAGGAGCGAGAGAACAAGGGGGAAGGAUAUCCGACUUACUAAUUGCGACGACGUCGGUGGUCCGUAGACGCACCGCGGGCCAUGACGAAAAGCGAUAUGGCCAGAGCAGAGACCGACCAAGGCCACGCCGUGAUACAUCUCCGUGGUUAACCCGAAUCGAAAUCAUAAAUCCAGCCAGGACCGGACGAUUCGCAGCGUUUCCCUCAAGGUAGUCUGCGUACAAAAUCGCGCUUGUUUGCCGUGGCCCAAGUUAACACUUUAACUGCCACGUUGGUCGUAUAUGAUCCGCCACGAUUUCUCCUAUGACGCCACGGUGGGUCAUUGGUGUCCGGAGCGCUUGAAUUUCUUACAAUUGUAAAAAUCGUAUGAAAAUUGACAGUUAGGGCAUUUUGAAUAUAACCGAUAAAUAGAAGAUACUUUGAAAUAAAAAGUGAACGACCCAUUGAACAGUUAAACAUUUUUAUUAGAACAUCGAUAAAAAAGAAAUGAGAACAGAUUUUGCAUCGAACGGUGCACUGUGUUAAAACACUUUAAACAUAAAUGUGGCUCAUCAAUACAAUCUGGACAAUAGGUGGUCAUCUGAUAUUAGUUGUCGUUCUUAUCAGGCUCGUUGUUUUUUUGCGCCAGUUUAUUUCCAUUGCGUUACAAUGUAUCUCUCGCUCUACUUGAGUAUCUUGGAAUCUAUUAAAAGGUCCCUUUAACAAACAGAUUGUUAAUCGCAGAGGAAACUAUAUAGCACGACCAUAUCGAAUUUGCUGGUUCAACAGAACCAGCUGUAAAUGUAAUGUAUUAGGUUGUCAACUCAAUAGAUAUAGAAAAAGAAAGAAGAAAACUAGGUGGUUAAUUCUGUUAUUAGUUGUUGAGGUUAACUGAUAGAAGAACGAGUGAAUGAAUUUGUAAUAGAAAAAUAUAUUGA